CCAAGAUGUAAAUGGGGAGAAUUCACCAAUGGAAUGAACCUGCUGAUUGUACUGGUUUCCAUGGAGAUUGGCCCACUUUAAAUACUUCACACAAUUCAUGUCACUGUAAAAAGUACAAGUUGUUUAUAUUUGGGCAUCUAAAUGAAUUUAAUUCAGAUUUAUAUAUACAGAUAUUCUACAAGGAAUUCUACUGUUAUUUAGAUGUACAUGUGACAUCCAUAUCUUUCACUACUAAUGUGGUUGAUGUCACAUGUGACAGGGAAACAGAUGAAUUAUAGUUCAUUUAAUAAGAUCAGUGGUAACAACUACAAAAAUUCACCAAAAUGAUGUCAUUAGACAGGCUAUGUAAAAAAAUAAAUGCUAAUGAUCAUUUGUGGAACUAGGGCACUCACAUUUCCUUUGAAAAGUGAGCGAUGGGACCAUUUUGUUGAUGAGAAGGGUAAUUCACUUCCUGAUGUUGAAUGAUGAGAUAUGAUGUAUGUAUAUUUAGGUAUAAUAAAGAGAAACGAGAAGUGCUGUUUCU